rnacentral:rRNA from 1 species
CCCUUAGAUGUUCUGGGUCGCACGCGCGCUACACUGACUGGUGCAACAAGUGUCGCUCCUUGGCCGAUAGGCCUGGGCAAUCUUUGAACGCCAGUCGUGAUGGGGAUAGAUUCUUGCAAUUUUUGAUCUUCAACGAGGAAUUCCUAGUAAACGCGAGUCAUCAACUCGCAUUGAUUACGUCCCUGCCCUUUGUACACACCGCCCGUCGCACCUACCGAUUGAAUGGUCCGGUGAACCCUCCGGAUCGGCUCGCGCCAACGCAAGUUGAGCAAAGGCCGAGAAGUUGGGUAAACCUUACCAUUUAGAGGAAGGUGAANUCGUAACA